CUUUGCAGCAAGUGGCCUCGGAGCAUGGCCUUAUUUUGGUAGACACUAAAUAUGAAUUUGGGAAGGCAAAUGAUGGAUCAAUUCUAUUGAUUGAUGAGGUCCAUACUCCUGAUUCAAGUAGAUAUUGGAUUGCCAAUUCUUACUUGGAGCGCUUUCAAAAUGGUCUUGGGCCUGAAAAUGUUGAUAAGGAGUUCUUGAGGCUGUGGUUCAAAAGUCACUGCAACCCUUAUGAAGAUGAGGUAAUUUACACUUUCUACUGCUAAUGAAUUAGCUUGUAGCUUUUAAAUAUGCAUCAAAUCACAUGGGUGGCUUUUAUUUAGGUCCUCCCCGAUGCUCC